rnacentral:rRNA from 1 species
AGCUUUAGGAAUUUCUCUAAGGUUAUACCUGCCCAAUGUUCAAAGAAUUAAUGGCCGCGGUACUUUGACCGUGCUAAGGUAGCGUAAUCAAUUGACUCCUAAUUAGGGUCAGGAAUGAAUGGAGUUACGUGAUCUAACUGUCUCAAAAAUAUUUAAUUGAAGUUACUAUAUAGAUGAAAAAGUCUAUAAAAAGAAAAAAGACGAGAAGACCCUUAGAGUUUUACUUAAUGUGGUUGUGUAUCAUACUAGUUUUGUUGGGGCAACAUGAGAACAAUUAACCUCUCUAUUAACACUAACCGAUUGUAAUAAAUGUGUAUAAACUACCUUAGGGAUAACAGCAUUAUGUAAAAUAAGUUUGUGACCUCGAUGUUGGACUGGGAAAUUUAAAGGCUAGCCGUCUUUAAAGAAAGUUCUGUUCGAACUGUUAUUCCC